rfam:Brassica rapa chromosome A2, whole genome shotgun sequence.
CCGACCUUAGCUCAGUUGGUAGAGCGGGAGACUGUAGUCUGUGACAGAUAAUCUCUAGGUCGCUGGUUCGAUUCCGGCAGGUCGGA